UUGAAGAAUGAAUAGUGGGGAUCCUAAUAAUAAUAACAUACCUAAACUCAUGCUGAUUUUAAUGUAUACAGAGCAUUUACACACACAUUAUUGUUUGAACUCUGUAUACAUGUGUGCAUCUUUGGAAAAGCCCAGUUUGAACCAUGUUGUCAUCCUUACUGUACAAUUCUGCAGCCCCAAAGGAAGUAGCCCCAGGAGGGUGUGUUCUUUUAUCAUGUUUUGCUGGAAUAGUCAUGUGUCUAAACUCCUCAGGGCAGAUCUUGGUGCGGCAUCAGAUGUAGCAUGAACAAUGAAGAAUUGUCACUGCUAAGUAGAAAGGUGGCAUUCUGGUUGAUGAUUAUGCUCAACCAGGUACAAUUGACCCUCAAACCACUUGGGGUUAGAUUAUGUGGGUCUACUUAUAUUUGGAUUUUUUUCAGGAAAUACUGUAAAUGUAUUUUCUCUUCCUUAUGAUUUUCUUAAUGACAUUUUCUAUUCUCUAGCUUUCUUUACUGUAAAAAUAUAGUAUAUAAUACAUAUAUCAUACAAAAUAUGUGAUAAUCAACUGUUAAUUUUAUCCAUAAAGAUUCUGGUCAACAAUAGGGUAUUAGUAGUUAAUUUUGGGGGAGUUUAAAGUCAUAUGUGGAUUUU